ensembl:lncRNA
CAGCCCCUCCAGCUGCGCGUGCCCCCGGCUGCUCGCCCGAGUAUUGCACGUCUGACUUCCUAGGAGGCGAAGCAAAGAACCUUCGUAAGGGGACUGUGCUGUGGCCCAGGAAGUUGACAGAUUCCAAGAGCUCAGUCCAGAGAAGGAGGCCCCGGGACUCGCCCGUCGGCCAACAGCCUCUUCUGCACAUUCUGUUUGCCCUGGUGGGACCCUGUUUCCUGUGAACCCCGUACUUCUGGCCAGGCCUCCAGGUGGCAGUUCAAAGAUCCCUUUGCUAACCUCUGGGGACCCUUCGGGACCAGACACCCAAGUGUCGACACCCAUUUUCCAGGCUUCUAGAAGAAAAGAAGAGCAAGGGGAGCACGUCAGCUCUCUUGUGAUGCAUGCUGGGUAACCCAGCCCCUGAGGGCUGGUCCUCAGCUUAUGCGUGCACCUCUGACGCACUUCUCCGGGCACGCGUGUCUUCCACAGGACGUCGCCUCUACAGGGCAGGACCCUGGCCUGCUGGGGGUGGAUGUGACCGUGGCCUGCUGGGGGCGGGGACCGUGGCCUGGGACCGUGGCCUGGGACCGUGGUUUGGGGUCACCCUCUGCCCGGGACCCACUGUUGGGUGUGUGUUGGGACCUGCAGCCUGGCAGCAAGUCUUGGCCAAAUUAGCUGAGUUUCCUUCGGAGAAAAAUGUAAUCAGUCGUUUCUUUUGGGUCCAUUUUAGCAAAUUAACUAGUCCAGUGUCUCCUUACUGUUUUAUUGGGUGGAUGAUGCAUGAAAACAGGAGGCCACGGCGGGGACUCGGCUUGGGAGGCAUGUGUGCACGGCAGGGGGGUCAGGGGUCACAGGGUCAGGGCCUGCAGGGAGGUCACAGGGUCAGGGCCCACACUUCAGGGAGGUCAGGGGUCACAGGGUCAGGGCCUACAGGGAGGUCACGGGGUCAGGGCCCACACUGCAGGGAGGUCACAGGGUCAGAGUCUACACUGCAGGGAGGUCACAGGGACAGAGUCUACACUGCAGCGGGGUCAAGGGUCACAGGGUCAGGGCUCACACUGCAGGGAGGUCACAGGGUCAGAGUCUACACUGCAGUGGGGUCACGGGGUCAGGGCCCACACUGCAGCCAUGGUGCCCACUCAUUCAGGGUAGAGGCCAGGUCUCCAACCUGCCACGUGGCACCUGUGGUCUUGAACUGGUGACCCUCCCGCCUCCACCUCUGACAGUGGAGGUUACAGGCGUCUACCACACUGGGCUCUGCAGUGCUGGGGUGGAACCCGGCUUCCUGUGCGCCAACUGAGCCCCAGCCCACACGCCUUUCCCUUUCCUCCUCUCUCUCCUCCCUUCUCUCUCCUCCCUUCUCUCUCCUCCCUUCUCUCUGUCUGUCUCGCUGUCUCUUGUCCCUGUCUGUUUGCCUCUCUGUCUCUCUGUCUGUCUCUGUCUCUGUCUCUCUUUCUCUCCCUUUUUUCUUUCCUCCCCCUCCCUCCCGUUUCCUUUCUUUCUUCUCUCCCAUUCUUCCUCCCUGCCUUUUCUUGAUGGGUGUUUUGAGGCCCGCUAUCUCCUCCAGGCUGGCCUUGAACCCCUGACCCUCCCACAUCAGCUUCUGCUGGGAGGACAGGCAUGCACAGCUUUAGCAGAGGAUGCCAGUGGCUUCUGUUCUUUGUUUCUGGACAACAGAACUGUCACAUGCACGCACGGUAGCUGGCGGUGGAGUGGGUCUCGCCAUCCGUCCACGGUGGGGAGCGGAGUCCGGGACGGCGGGAACACCCUGGGCCCUGUUGACUGCGUCCACACCCUCCCGUGUGUGUUGGGACUGGCAGCCUGGCAGCAAGGCACCGG